rnacentral:rRNA from 1 species
AGUGAACGCUGGCGGUAGGCCUAACACAUGCAAGUCGAACGGCAGCACAGUAAGAGCUUGCUCUUACGGGUGGCGAGUGGCGGACGGGUGAGGAAUACAUCGGAAUCUACUUUUUCGUGGGGGAUAACGUAGGGAAACUUACGCUAAUACCGCAUACGACCUACGGGUGAAAGCAUGGGAUCUUCGGACCUUGCGCGAUUGAAUGAGCCGAUGUCGGAUUAGCUAGUUGGCGGGGUAAAGGCCCACCAAGUCGACGAUCCGUAGCUGGUCUGAGAGGAUGAUCAGCCACACUGGAACUGAGACACGGUCCAGACUCCUACGGGAGGCAGCAGUGGGGAAUAUUGGACAAUGGGCGCAAGCCUGAUCCAGCCAUACCGCGUGGGUGAAGAAGGCCUUCGGGUUGUAAAGCCCUUUUGUUGGGAAAGAAAAGCAGCAGGUUAAUACCCCGCUGUUCUGACGGUACCCAAAGAAUAAGCACCGGCUAACUUCGUG